rnacentral:rRNA from 1 species
GUGGAGGCAAAACUCAAAAAAAUAAGUCUCAGUUCGGAUUGAAGGCUGAAAUUCGCCUUCAUGAAGCCGGAAUUGCUAGUAAUGGCAGGUCAGCAUACUGCCGUGAAUACGUUCCCGGGCCUUGUACACACCGCCCGUCACACCAUGAGAGUUGGGAAUACCCGAAGCCUGUGAGCUAACUUUUAGAGGCAGCAGUCGAAGGUAGAAUCAAUGAUUGGGGUGAAGUCGUAACAAGGUAUC